rnacentral:rRNA from 1 species
GGGGAAUAUUGCGCAAUGGGGGGAACCCUGACGCAGCAACGCCGCGUGAAGGAAGAAGGUCUUCGGAUUGUAAACUUCUUUGAUGAGGGACGAAGUAAGUGACGGUACCUCAAAAACAAGCCACGGCUAACUACGUGCCAGCAGCCGCGGUAAUACGUAGGUGGCGAGCGUUGUCCGGAAUUACUGGGUGUAAAGGGCGUGUAGGCGGGGAUGCAAGUCAGAUGUGAAAUACCGAGGCUUAACCUCGGGGCUGCAUCUGAAACUGGAUAUCUUGAGGGCAGGAGAGGAAAGUGGAAUUCCUGGUGUAGCGGUGAAAUGCGUAGAAAUAAGGAGGAACACCAGUGGCGAAGGCGACUUUCUGGACUGACCCUGACGCUGAUGUGCGAAAGCGUGGGUAGCAAACA